UGAGUAACACGUGGGUGAUCUGCCCUGCACUUUGGGAUAAGCCUGGGAAACUGGGUCUAAUACCGAAUACACCCUGCUGGUCGCAUGGCCUGGUGGGGGAAAGCUUUUGCGGUGUGGGAUGGGCCCGCGGCCUAUCAGCUUGUUGGUGGGGUGAUGGCCUACCAAGGCGACGACGGGUAGCCGGCCUGAGAGGGUGUCCGGCCACACUGGGACUGAGAUACGGCCCAGACUCCUACGGGAGGCAGCAGUGGGGAAUAUUGCACAAUGGGCGCAAGCCUGAUGCAGCGACGCCGCGUGGGGGAUGACGGCCUUCGGGUUGUAAACCCCUUUCAGUAUCGACGAAGCCGUGAGGUGACGGUAGGUACAGAAGAAGCACCGGCCAACUACGUGCCAGCAGCCGCGGUAAUACGUAGGGUGCGAGCGUUGUCCGGAAUUACUGGGCGUAAAGAGCUCGUAGGUGGUUUGUCGCGUUGUUCGUGAAAACUCACAGCUUAACUGUGGGCGUGCGGGCGAUACGGGCAGACUGGAGUACUGCAGGGGAGACUGGAAUUCCUGGUGUAGCGGUGGAAUGCGCAGAUAUCAGGAGGAACACCGGUGGCGAAGGCGGGUCUCUGGGCAGUAACUGACGCUGAGGAGCGAAAGCGUGGGGAGCGAACAGGAUUAGAUACCCUGGUAGUCCACGCCGUAAACGGUGGGUACUAGGUGUGGGUUUCCUUCCUUGGGAUCCGUGCCGUAGCUAACGCAUUAAGUACCCCGCCUGGGGAGUACGGCCGCAAGGCUAAAACUCAAAAGGAAUUGACGGGGGGCCCGCACAA
rnacentral:rRNA from 1 species